CUCCUCCCUAUAGUUAGAAAACAAAACAAAAAGUGUUCAUCGCCUAAAUUGCUGGAGAGACCCAACCAAAGUUUCACCGCAUAACUCCUUUCUCCUAGGUUGUCCUCCGCCGGCUCCUCGCGAUGGCCGGCGGCCGACCCCCUUCACCUCCCGCCGGCUCUCCGGCGUCCUCUUCGAACGAAAAUGAAACUGGGGCUCGGGAGCAUGUCGAGGAGGUGAGCAGCAUUGAGCUUGGGGGUGCAAGCAAGGAUCUGUCUAAGUUUGAGACCCUCACGCUGAACGACACACCUCACACACUUGAAUCAGCUGACGAGCAGGGGAUAAUUGGAGAAUUUUAUCCACUUGACCAUGAAGGUGAUAUAGAUUUUGAGAUUAGACAAGAUGAAGAACGAGCUCAAUUUUUCCAAGCACAAGGAUAUUGGCCACUCGACUUUGAAACUAUUAGAGAAUAUGCAGACAUGCAAGUUGAAAAACAAACCCAAUCAGUCCAAGCACGAGGACAACAUACUUAUGCUUCUAAGAAAGAAGAAAUUGCUGCAAAUGCGAAACGAUGGAUGAGCGAGGAGGCGAUGGUGGCUUUCAAAAGAUACAUUGAGAGCAAAGAUGAUCUUAAGGGAGUUGAUUAUGAAUUUGACGAGCUUGUCCAUCAAUGUUUUAGUGUGGAGAAUUAUUUAAAGAUAUUUCAUCACUUCAACUUUACUGUCAAGAUAAAGAAGCCUGGCUUAGUUGAUUGGACAUCGGUGAUGUACUUCGCCGAGGUCAAAUCAAUAUGUAUGAUAAAACUAUAUGCCUGUUAUCCUUUGGAGCAAGAUCGAUAUGGUGAAUGUUAUGCAUGUAAGAAGCAAGGAAUGGGUGUAUUGAGGCACCCAUUAAAAGGGAUAUAUGAUAUGGGCAGGGAAGAUAUACAAUUUCCCUUCUAUUGUGAGGACAGCGACUCUGAUGUAUUCGAUCCAACAACGGGAGGGAGUGAAUCUUCUGAUGAGGAUAUGAGUUGAUGAUGGCCUUGGUCUUUAUUCUAGUACUGGUCCCGGAGCGUGUGGAGGAGGUGAGCAGCCGUGAGCUUGAGACCCUGACGCUGAAUGACACAUCUCACACACUUGAAUCAGCUGAGGGGCAGGAGAUAUUUGGAGGAUUUUAUCCACUCGACCAUCAAGGUGAUAUAAAAUUUGAGAGAAGACAAGCUGAAGAACGAGCUCAAUUUUUCCAAGCACAAGGAUAUUGCCCACUCGACUUUGAAACUAACAAAGAAUAUGCAAACAUGAAAGUUGGAAAACAAACUCAAUCAGUCCAAGCACGGGGACAACAUACUUACGCUUCUAAGGAAGAAGAAAUUGCUGCAAAUGCGAAACGAUGGAUGAGCGAGGAGGCGAUGGUGGCUUUCACAAGUACAUUGAGAGCAAAGAUGAUCUUAAGGGACUUGAUUAUGAAUUUGACGAGCUUGUCCAUCAAUGUUUUAAUAUGGAGGAUUAUUUAACGAUAUUCCAUCACUUCAACUUUACUGUCAAGAUAAAGAAGCCUGGCUCAGCUGAUUGGAUGUCGGCGAUGUACUUCGCCGAGGUCAAAUCGAUAUGUAUGAUAAAACUCUAUGCCUGUUAUCCUUUGGAGGAAGAUCAAUAUGGUGAAUGUUAUGCCUGUGAGAACCAAGGAAUGGGUGUAUUGAGGCACCCGUUAAAAGGGAUAUACGAUAUGGGCAGGGAAGAUGUAGAACCUCCCUUAUAUUAUGAGGACAGCGACUCUGAUGAAUUCGAUCCAGCAACAGUCCGGAGUUUAUCUUCUGAUGAUGAUAUGAGUUGAUGAUGGCCUUGUCUUUUAUUCUAGUACUGUAAGUUAGUUGUAGCUCUCCCCGCAAAAAGAAAAAGUUAGCUGUAGCUCUCCCCGCAAAAAAAAAGAGUUACCUGUAGCUCUUGUAUGCUCUUGAUCUGUUGAUUCCUAGUUGAAUUGAGAAUGUAUUCCUAGCUCCAGCAGCAUCUGAAGAAUGACGAGUAG